rnacentral:rRNA from 1 species
UGAAUACGAGACGCUAAGGCGUCGAAGUAGUGUAUGUCAUACUUCCAAGAAAAGCUUGCACUGUCAUAAGUAAAAAAUGCCUGUACCAUAACCGACACAGGUGGGUAGGUAGAGUAUACUAAGGGGCGCGAGAUAACUCUCUCUAAGGAACUCGGCAAAAUAACUCCGUAACUUCGGGAGAAGGAGUACCUUAUUCUAUAAGGUUGCAAUAACAAGAUCCAAGCAACUGUUUAUCAAAAACACAGGUCUCCGCUAAGUCGUAAGACGAUGUAUGGGGGCUGACGCCUGCCCAGUGCCAGAAGGUUAAAGAAGUCGGUUAGCAUUAGCGAAGCUGGUAACUGAAGCCCUGGUGAACGGCGGCCGUAACUAUAACGGUCCUAAGGUAGCGAAAUUCCUUGUCGGGUAAGUUCCGACCCGCACGAAAGGCGUAAUGAUUUGGAUACUGUCUCGGAGAGGGGCUCGGUGAAAUAGACUUGUCUGUGAAGAUGCGGACUACCUGCACCAGGACAGAAAGACCCUAUGAAGCUUUACUGUAACUUGAAAUCGAAAUUGGACUUUAUUCGCGCAGUAUAGGUGGGAGGUGUUGAUUAUAAUCUUGCGGGAUUAUUGGAGCCAUCAGUGAGAUACCACUCUUGUAAUGUUAGAUUUCUAACUUUGAAUCAUUAUCUGGUCAAAGGACAGUUUCAGGCGGGCAGUUUGACUGGGGCGGUCGCCUCCCAAACGGUAACGGAGGCGUACAAAGGUUUCCUCUGAACGGGUAGAAAUCGUAUCUAGAGUGUAAAGGCAUAAGGAAGCUUGACUGUGAGACCUACAAGUCGAACAGGGACGAAAGUCGGUCUUAGUGAUCUGACGGUACUGAGUGGAAAGGCCGUCACUCAACGGAUAAAAGUUACUCUAAGGAUAACAGGCUGAUCUCCCCCAAGAGUUCACAUCGACGGGGAGGUUUGGCACCUGGAUGUCGGCUCAUCGCAUCCUGGGGCGGUAGUACGUCCCAAGGGUUGGGCUGUUCGCCCAUGAAAGCGGUACGCGAGCUGGGUUCAGAACGUCGUGAGACAGCUCGGUCCAUAUCCGGUGUAGGCGUUAGAAUAUUGAGAGGAGCCUUCUUUAGUACGAGAGGACCGAGAAGGACAUACCUCUGGUGUACCAGUUAUCGUGCCAACGGUAAACGCUGGGUAGCUAUGUAUGGAGUGGAUAACCGCUGAAAGCAUCUAAGUGGGAAGCCCACCUCAAGAUAAGUAUUCUCAUG